AGGGGGGCUCAUGGGGUAUAUAAAGGAGGAGGGAGAAAUAUUUUCGUCCACCUUGAGUAAGGAGGCCGAAAUCCAACUCUAUCUCUAACUUUCCUAACAAACUACAACUCUUUAGGAAACAGAAAAACAGAUCCGUCAGCUUAUUUUGUCCGUCACGGUCAGGACGAGUCGAAUCUCUUGAUGGAGCCAGAUCCGUUGGAAAGGUCUUGUAAUUACCUUUCCAACAAGUACUUGUUUGCUUGAUUUGGACUUCGGAUGCGGCCUGGGUGAUUAAAACAAAUACGGGUCUCCUGGCAGCUCGGACCCGAAUCGGAUUCAACUUUAAUUCGUGACAUCUUUCUCUAGCAAGCUCUGAAUCAUGUGUCGUUUGAUUUAUUGGAAAGUACACUUGAAAUCCUUCCCUCUCAGCUGUAUGAAUGCUUGAUUCUUGUUGGCCCUCCCAUUCGCCUCCAUCAUAUCUCGUCUUGACCUUGGACUUGAAAAGCUCGACAAGAUGUCUACGUAAUAAAACGAGACAAGAUAAUAGUAACUCCGCCUCUUCAUAAAUAUGACAAUGAAAACAAUUACUACUUGAAUUCACAUGAUUAUAAAUCUUGUCAAAUAUUAUAGAAUUGAGGGUACCAAAGGUCAUAUCCAUGGUUAGCAUGUCCAUAUCAUCCUCCCUUUCUUGAAAAGAAAGCCGCCCUCGGCGUCGUUUGUGCUGUAAAGAGACUGACAAAAUAGACAAAGUGUGUGCAUGGUAUAUGUAUAUGUCAUCCAUCUUUAUACAUGUCCUUUCUUGCACAAUUAAUCUUUUAUAACAAAGUCUCAGGAGAUAAUUAGUAAAACAAUUAUGAUGAAUAACAUUCCAGCAAGAAGAUUGACAAUAUUGUUUGCAUUUAUAAGCGAAAUGAUUUCUUGUAUUUGGUUUGCACCGCUCACCAUUACACCAUCCCAACAUUGGAGAAUAAUAAUGAAUAGUAUCCAAAUUAGUUACUACAAUAUGCUGAAAUUUAGAGCAAGUCAAAGCACUAAUAUUCAAACAAGCAUGUAAAUAACUAUUUGGCAAACAAUAAACACCUAUAUUGAAGGUCCUAUCAAAAUGAUUAAGCAUGUGCAAAAAUUUCUUUUCUCCCAAGAGAGGAAAAUUAUCACAAGUAAUGCAAAUCUCAUGCACCAAAAUGUUAUUGUUCACAUCAUGUUGUCCAAUUAAAUGAAUUGUGUAUCCAUGAACAGCAAAAGAUUUCGAAAUUGUUAACUCACACAGUUUAUCCAUUGCAUGCGACAAAUACAUGGGACUAUCAAGUGCAAUAUAACACAAAGAAUUAAUAGGUGGAUCGUUCUCGAUCACUCCAUGUGUAAUUAACUCGACACAACCUAAACCAAAUUUAUCUACAUCACAUGUUUCUCCCAAAACAUUAGUUAUUUUCUCACAUGAUUCAUUCUCAUCAAUAUCAAAAUUAAUAUGUGCACUCAAAUCAUUAGAAGAAUUAAUUUCAGCAGUAGGUGCACUCAAAUUAGCAUGUAAAUCAACAAUUUCACAUGGUGCAGAAAAUUCAACGGGUAUCUCAUUUAUUUCAUCACAUGCCCUUUUUAGUUCAGCAACACAAUCCUCUGUAUCAUUACCUUGUGGGCUCGACUCAUUUGUAGUAGACCCUCGGUGUAAUUUCCUCUCAACUUUACGAGCAAGAUUAAUCAAACACAAAAGAGAGUCGUAUUUUUCAUAUUCAAUCAUGUAAGAAAUAUCAAAGUUAAAGCCCACAAUAAAAUCUAUCCAUUUUUCUUUGUUCGGUUUCAUCUAAACCAGAUCGCAAGGUUAUAAUUUGGAACUCAUUGUAGUAAUCAUCAACAGUUUUAUCAUCUUGUGCCAAACGUCGUAAUUUUGAACGCAAGUUAAAAGCAUAACUAAAAGGGACAUAUUUAUCUCUCAUGAUUUUCUUCAUAUCAACCCAAGUGUGGGGAAUUUUCUUUUCUCUAACUAUCUCAUUCCACCAAGAUAAAGCAGCAAAAGUAUAUUUACUACUACCAAUUUUGAACCUUGCGAUGAUCAAGUACAUGGAACCAUGUGAAUUGUUCAGGUAAAGCUAGCUCCCAAUCUAUAUACGUUUCAGCAUCAUUUUCCCUCAAAUAAAGGUACACACAAUUUUAUUGUAUUAGAAGGAUUGUUUUGUACCGUUGCCGUGGCAUUAUCAACAAGAGACAUGGAGCAUGGCCGUGGUGAAAAGCACUCAUCGCGGUCACGGGAUAGCAUCGGUCUAGUUGCCAUGCUUCAUGUAAGUCCUGUCAUGGUUAGUAGAAAACAAGAAACAAAUCACAGUAAUAUGUUCCUAUCAACUACUAGGAUAUGGCUACAAGUCGCUCAACUCUCAAGCUAAAAAUCAAGUUCUUACGAGUUCUUACCAUGCAAAACAGGAAGGUGAUGGCCAGUGGCGUAACCAAGCCCUUCGGAGAUUAAAUGUAUCGAUGCCUCGGUAACAAACCAACCUAGGAGGUGAUACCACGUGAUAGCCUCGAGGGUGUCCCGAUCUUUCGAUGAGAUACAUAAUUAUCAAUUUGGUAGGAGGUGACGUUGACGAUCCGACUACAACCUAGGAGGCAAUGCCUUAGCGAUCGAUACACCGACUCCAGAAGGUUAUUGAUCACGCGGGGGCACGAUCAACCUGACCACGAAGGUCUUUGUUCCUGCAAACAAUCGAAGAACAAGCAAAAACAAGAUAAAUAGCGGAUGCAAUCUAAAAUUACGAAUAUACUAUAUCAAACCAAUGUCUCAACGAGACGAUAAGUUGGAGUCUUGACGACAAUAAAACAGGUGGUCUAACCGACACACGCGAUUACACGAAAGUAGCAAAGAUGGCUAAACUUUAUCUAAUCAAAACCCAAAACUCCUUAGGGAGGCUCAUGGGGUAUAUAAAGGAGGAGGGAGAGAUAUUUUUGUCCACCUUGAGUAAGGAGGCCGAAAUCCAACUCUAUCUCUAACUUUCCUAACAAACUACAACUCUUUAGGAAACAGAAAAACAGAUCCGUCUGCUUGUUUUGUCCGUCACGGUCAGUACGAGUCGAAUCUCUUGAUGGAGCCAGAUCCGUUGGAAAGGUCUUGUAAUUACCUUUCCAACAAGUACUUGUUUGCUUGAUUUGGACUUCGGAUGCGGCCUGGGUGAUUAAAACAAAUUCGGGUCUCCUGGCAGCUCGGACCCGAAUCGGAUUCAACUUUAAUUCGUG
rnacentral:lncRNA from 1 species